rnacentral:lncRNA from 1 species
AGAACUUCCACCUCUAUAUUUUUAUAACAUAUAUUAUGGAUCAGAACUCUAGACAAAAAUUGAAAUCAUUCUGGUGAGUAUCUUGGGUAGUACUUUGAGGAAGCUACAAGGAGGAAUUGUGGCAUUUAAUUUAUAAUAUGUAAGUGAGCUCCUUGUAUAUUGAAAUCUGCACUUUAAUUCCCUAAGGGAAACAGAGCCGAGGAGUCUCUAUAUUGAACUGCCACCACCAAAAUCAUUAAGAGUUAGUUCCCUCAGAGCAUUUGGUCUAAAGCUAAUGUAUAACCUGGAUUCCUGUUUCCAAAUAGAGAAAGACUGAGUAUCUGAAUUCCAAUUAUUCUAUAUCCUUUUACUCUCAGAAGAGGACUUUCAUGAAGUUGAGCCCCCUUACAAUAUAACAGUGAUUUCCUGCAUCUACCUGAAAAUGAUUGUUCAUCCUUUCUGCAAAAAAUAUGAAGGCAGAAAAUUAUCUUUUUCAUAAUUCAACUCAUACAGCUUCCAGGUACGUUUAAUGGUUAGAUAUAUAAAGAUGAAACGUAUCUCUAUGGCUAUAGAGCUUCCAUUUGAGGCGUCAUACAAUAAAUCCUUUUUGUUGUUACUGUCGUGUAGAUACUUGGUUUGAAUUAUUUUAAUCUAAAUAUUCAAUAUUCCUGAAUACUUGCAAUCUAUAAACCACCACCAUAUAAUACCCUUCCAGAAUUAAUCACAAUUCACCAGAUACAGUUUCUCUCGGGUAUCAUUUUGGAUACUCUCUUCCUUAUAAAGAAAUUACUGGUAUUUAUAGGUGUUUUUUUCUCUGGAUCCAGGGAUUUUGAUAUGAGGAACUGUGAGGUCAUUGCUUCCCUACUUUGAAUGUUGCUCAGAGCUCCCUCAUUUCUACUUAUAUUUCUACAUUCAGGUUCGCUUAAAAAGCCUUCACUGACCCCAUUCUGAGCUAACACCAUAAUAACCGUGUUCCUACAGGACCCACACAGUCAUAUUAAGCACAGUAGUUAGUCAGCCCUUUCUGUCCCCCUCAAGAUGGUGUCAUUCUGAAAAUCAGGAAUUCUAUACAUUUGUGUCCACAUGCUGAAUGCCCACAGCAAACGUUUGGUUUAUCCCUGUCGAAUUUGUUUUAAUAUUAGGAUCUUAUCUAAGGACUAUCAUUAAAUUUAAAGUUAUAAAGAUGUAGCCUUAUGCUUUUUUUCUAAUAUUGUAAUAAUGUUAG